AGCAGCCGCGGUAAUUCCAGCUCCAAUAGCGUAUAUUAAAGUUGUUGCAGUUAAAAAGCUCGUAGUUGAAUUUCGAGAUCAAUUUGUUGGUCGUGCCUCGGUACGUACUGGCAAUUUUGAUUUCUCCCUUCUGAAGAACCAUGAUGUCAUUAAUUUGGUGUCAUGGGGAAUCAGGACCGUUACUUUGAAAAAUUAGAGUGUUUAAAGCAGGCUCGCGCUUGAAUACAUUAGCAUGGAAUAAUGAAAUGGGACGUUUGAUUCUAUUUUGUUGGUUUCUAGGAUCGACGUAAUGAUUAAUAGGGAUAGUUGGGGGCAUUAGUAUUCAAUUGUCAGAGGUGAAAUUCUUGGAUUUAUUGAAGACUAACUACUGCGAAAGCAUUUGCCAAGGAUGUUUUCAUUAAUCAAGAACGAAAGUUAGGGGAUCGAAGACGAUCAGAUACCGUCGUAGUCUUAACCAUAAACUAUGCCGAC
rnacentral:rRNA from 1 species